CGCUAUUUUGUGCAUUUUUCCUUUGAUUUUUUUGGUGAUAAUUUUUCAUAUCAUGCUACUCGACUGAGAUGGAAAAUUAUUGCUAGAAACUAAGGAGAUAUGUGGCGUUACUAAUGAAAUUGACAUGAAAUUGACAACGUCGUCAUAGGUAAAAUAGCGAUAAACAGAUUAUCAUUGGUCAUCUCAACUCGAUUGCUUUUCUCGGUUUCGCCGUACCGGCUCAAGCGAGAAAAUCAAUCUCGCUGAGAUGAUCAACGAUAAUCUAUAAUUAUACACUCAA
rnacentral:lncRNA from 1 species